GACUCCUGACUCCAGAGAACAGCACUAGAAUGUUCUUGAAGGGCCAGAACCAUGUAUCUAGGCAACCCCUUCAGCAGGCCUUUUGAUACAGUUUGGAUAAGAAAUGUCCCCCAAAAGGAUCCUAUUUUGAAGCCAUUGUGCCCUUGGUGAAGGAAUGCUGGAACUAUCUGGAUGUUUCCCAAACACUUUGCAGGAAUUGUCUUUCAGCUCCACGAUGAGAUCCGGAGCAUUCUCAAGUGUAGCAGCCACUUUACAGCAACCCAAGAAACAGCCCUGAGCAUCCAUCUCCACCACCCACCUGCUCCAGGAAAGAUGCAGGAAGGAGAAUGAAUGCAUGUAGAAAAAUCUCUCCAGUCUCAGGGGCUUGGCAGGUGGUCCCCAGCCUGCUCUUACAAGCCACAAGCAAGAACAAUGCCCUUGUGGCCAUUGAUGGGCCCUCCAGGUCCAUCUGAAUCCUCCCUGGGCAAGAGGGUUAACAGUUAUGCUCCUUAAAGGAAGGGGUCAAAAGGAAUGCCUAGGAGUGAGACUACGUGGCACAUCAACUCCCCUCUUCCAAUUUGGGGCUUCACUGUACCUGGUCAAGCUGAAGCACCCCUGAGCACUCAGUCCAGAAGGCCACACUGUGGGGCGACACUUGUUCUCACAGGUAGGU